CGUGCUUUGCUAACAAAAUUAGGACGAUUUCAAUUUUGAAUAAUGAGAUUUUUUUAAUAAUAAUAUUUAAUUUUUCUAGAGCAACAUGAUAUGACUUAUAAACUCUAAAUUAUUAUUAUAUAUAUUAGCUUUUCUCAGGUAAGUGUGUAAAUUGUGGGUGUAUUUUGUGGGUUUCUAUAUCAGCCGUUGGAUCAAUCCAAGGGUUGAGAUCUUAAAUCCUAACAUACACCCUUCCUCACUUGAUUUAGGACCACAUAUGAGACCUCUCAGUUCAUUUCCUCGCCAGUGCUUUCACCAGGAACGAUCAGAGUAGAAGCGGCGGAAUAACUCCUCAAGCACGGCUCGUUAGUCUCUACUGGUGGUGGAUCUGUCUUCUUCUCCGAUUAACUGCUGUACCAAUGGAGCUCUGUUCACUCCUGCGUAGAUAUAUUGAUUUGGCAAAACUGAAAAAUCAUAAGCAAACACAACCAGAUUGGAAUUUCAGUCUUGGUCGAACAAAUUUGGUGAAGUCAAAUGUUUAUCUUUUUCCUUUUCAAUUCCUUCUUUUGCUUUACAAUAGCUUGUUAGUGGAUGGGUGUUUUAUGGGUAAGAGUUGUUGGUGAGGCAUUGAUAACGAUGGGUCUCCUGGUGUGGAUUCUGGUGACUAGUGUGGAUUCCGGUGAGGUGAAGGCGAGAGACUGAUGAGGGAGACGGUUAUCGCGAUUCGCGACGUGGGUUUCAGUUGUUUUCCUGUGAAGGGAAAUCACGAAGUGAAGGGAGGAACGAACGUGAAAGAAGAGAAGAGGGGAAACCGUGAAAGAGAUGGGGUAGGAGAGUGUAUAUUGUGGUUUUAGAUUUUGGUCUUAAGAUUGAUCCAACAGCUGUUGAAGAAACCCGCAUUUUACACCCGCAAAUUACACCCUUAGGAGAGAAUCAUAGUGGUACCCAUUUCGAGUGCUUGUCUGCUUGAGAUGGUACUUUCUUGAUAAAUCCAGUGAUAGAUGUUCACAGUGGACACAUUUUGGCACUCCAAAAAAGCUGAAAAAUUUGUAACACUCCAUAUUUGGAGUACUUCCUAGUUCAUGAAUAAUGAAAUUGUGGGACUCAUUUUUCCA